rnacentral:rRNA from 1 species
UGGGGAAUAUUGGGCAAUGGGCGGAAGCCUGACCCAGCAACGCCGCGUGAAGGAAGAAGGUUUUCGGAUUGUAAACUUCUGUCCUAAGUGACGAAGGAAGUGACGGUAGCUUAGGAGGAAGCCCCGGCUAACUACGUGCCAGCAGCCGCGGUAAUACGUAGGGGGCGAGCGUUGUCCGGAAUGACUGGGCGUAAAGGGCGUGUAGGCGGCCGAUUAAGUAUGGAGUAGUCAAAUUCCUAGCAUUCAAGGGUUGGACUUGCUUUGUAGACUGGUUGGCUUGAGUGCGGAAGAGGUAAGUGGAAUUCCCAGUGUAGCGGUGAAAUGCGUAGAGAUUGGGAGGAACACCAGUGGCGAAGGCGGCUUACUGGACUGUAACUGACGUUGAGGCUCGAAAGCGUGGGGAGCAAACAGGAUUAGAUACCC